AAUAAGUUCUUUUGAUAUGCCUGGGGCAGUACUAAAAAAGAAUCAGGCCGUGGCCUUAAUGAAAAUCCAGUUUGGUGACUAGAAAAAAUUUAAUAUACUGUGUCUUUUUUUCUGAGGUCAUGACUCUAUUCUCAAGAAGGUUAAAGCAAAUAAUAUUUAUGGGUGGACAUCACUAUAUGUAAAAUAUCCUCUGGGAAGACAGCAUUAGCUUGCUCACAUCGUGCUUUCACUAGGGGAGAAAAUGGAAGCCUUUAGUUCCUAUGUAUAUCAACAUUGGACUUUUUACAUGAUCAGGUAGAAGGCAGAGUGGGAUACGGGUCUGGGAACCAGUUUCUGUCCAUUUUAGGCUUUGAUUCUGUCUCGUUUCUGACCUCGGAUACGUCAUGUCCCUAUUCAGGAUUCUUACAUGUGAAAUUAGGAUGAAUAUAUCUAUCGGCUUCCAUAGCAUCAUGGUUAAGACAAACGAACAUGAUUCUUAGAUGUUGCACUGUUAUGAAAUUAAAACAAAGUGCUGUAUAAGUAUAAGCCAUGUUGUUAGGGAUUUGCACUGAGGAAAACUAACGCAUGCAUGUCGUGCAGAGUGCUUUCUGAGUGAAGACGUUUCUGAAAAGGCAGGAGGGACCGGCUGCCAUUAUUUAAGGCAUGUGACACGAGAGAGUGCCAGAAGUGCCUUUUGCAUCUCUGUCUCCUAAGUGCCUACCUGGUUUGAAUGCCUAGAAGGUCAAUUUGAGUGCAACAUCCAGCCUGCUGAUAGGUGUUGAUGUUGUUGUUGCUGAGAAGCUUGUAUUUCUCCCAUAGAUUAUUUGAUAUGCUCUUCUAUAGAGUAUAAAUUCCUAAUGUUUCCCCAAUUUUGGUGCUAAUGUAAUGAAAACAAAAUUAUGCCUUAACGAUCCAGAGCCCUGGUUGAUUCUCCAGCUGACUGCAAUUGAAUCUGUGACCUCAAAAUCCAUCCUGAAGUCUGUCACUGGUAGAACGUUCUAACCAGAGCACAGGGCUACAAUGGACAGUGAGGGAGCCUCAAGUACAGGAGAUCUUAUUUUAAUUCAUAUUUGACCUUUUUAACAAAGGAGACUGGAGUUAUUUUCAGGUCUCAGAUGGUAACAGGAGCAAGAAUCUUCCUGGGGGAAGUGAACCUCAAUGUUUUUUCUAAAAAGUUAUUAGCUUUUCGAAUGACUAGCCUGCUCAGUCCCCCAACAAUCUAGAUAGUAUUCUGUCUAUAAAUAGCUUAUCUCAUUACAUUCCUGUUUAUUCUGUCUCUGUGGUUUUGGGCUUCAUCUCUGCCUACUGUGCAUAGAUCCCUAGGCUCACAGGCAGCUUUGCAUUUUUGUCCUCUGGCAUAAAAAGAACCUAGGGUGAAGGUGAAGAAGGAUAAAGCUAAUGAUUCCCUCCAACAUAGCACCCCCCAUAUUGCCUGUGCCAAGGGCCCCAAGGGACCCAAAUAAAUGACAAUGUUGUCAAAAUGUGACUGAAUUAUUAAAGAAGGUGAAUGAUCUAGGUAACUGAUAAAACCGAAGAGAAAUACACAUCCGUAUAGAUGUAUAUUUGUAUAUGCCUAUGUAUGUGUGUAUUAGGUACAUAUAGGUCCAUACAUAGUCUGCCCCUAUGAAUAUAAAUACGUUAAAAACUUUAAGUAAAAAGCAAGGAAGAUAAUGAGUGCCAUCUCAUGGAGAUACCUACCACUGCAUUUUCCAAAUUGUCUCUACUUCAAACUUUUUAAAAUGUUAAACCAAUAUUCCUGGAAUAAAAAUUCUCUUCCUCUCUUUCCAACUUGUUGAUCAAAAUGAUAGCAUGUACACUACAUAAACAACGCGAUGGUCCACUGUGCCAGGAUACACCAUAGAGAAUGGUCUAUGUUCAUGGAAAUGGAUGUCGUGGUGAGUCAACAGAAAACACAUUCACUACAGAUCCCAGCUCAGGCAAAAGCCUCAAAAGUUGUGACACUUAAUGAUAAUUAUGGUAAUGGAUUCUAGGACUCCCAGUUUUUUAUUGAUGAUACUGCCUGGUGACCAGUUGAUGUCAUUGCCACCAUGCCUGACAGUGGAGUUCCCUCACUUGUUUAUGCUCUGUCCAUGCACAAAAGGCCAAUCAAUCCUGAAACAAACCCUUUUUACUCCCUUUCAAUAAACUGCCAUCACAGUCUCAGAGCCCGUUUACACAGUGGUGGAGGCACCACUGGAUCAAUUGCCUGAGACACACACACAGGCAAAUGUCUGUUCAAACUCUGUCGUAUCUAGAAAUGUCUAAGAAGGUGCACUUCUUCCUACUGCAAACCUGACCAGGGAUACAGGUUCCCAUUCUGUUGGAGGGGGUUGGGCGGGAAUCUUUAGAGAAAUAGAUUUCUGCUAAAGGUUACAAUGAAGUAAUAGGGGCUCCUGACUCAGCAUAGGGGAAGAAAGUCCACAAAUGGGGAGUGGAAAAGGGUAACCACGUCAGGGUUUGUGACUAUAAGUGAGAAAAGGGCACUAAUCAUAAGAGUAGCUCAUGUGUAUCAUUUCAUUGACUCAUUCAACAAAUUCUACGGAGUGAUGGCCAUGUGCACAGUCUGCACUAUGGUAAUGGAAGAGACCAAACAGGCAAGAAGAGACAAAAUUCUUUGCCCUCAAGGGGCUCGUGUUGUAGUAGAGAAUACAGACAAUAAACAAGUAAACUACAUUGUUGAAGGACGAUAAGGACUAAAGAGAAAAAUAAAGCAGGUGAAGGGGAGCAACACAAAUCGGAACUCCUUAAUCGUGGAUCGUGCCAUCUUUCACGUUGUAUUUCCCACUAGUCUUUAAAAAGUGCUUUACAAUCAUUGAUUUUACGACCACAGAAUAAUGUUCUCAUUUCCUGAGAGUGUCACCAGGCUGGUCAGCAGGAGUAUGUGCGAAUUCACCUGCCGACAAAGUGACAUCUAAAACAUAGACAGAUUUUCAGAUGAGAAAUAGUCCUAAUGACAGCCACCAUUGACUGAGCAUAUGUGACAGUUAAACACUUCCUAUUUUAAUCCUUAUAAAAAUUCUGCAUUUACCAUGGAAAGAGAGAAAUGCAGACAGAGAUGAAGAAUUUGUCCAAUUUCUACAACUACCAAAUGGCAGAGCUGUCCCCCAAAUGGGACAGACUGUGAGCCUAUUUUCCGUGCUGUGUGACCGCUCUAUGCCCGAGUGAUAACUUGUCCUUGGGCCAUUUGCAUUUUCAUCAAGAACACAUUCAAAAGGUGAAGAAGGAAUGGAUUCCAGCAUCGGAUUUUAGGGGUCUCCUUGGUGUCUGUCCUUGAGAUGGGUCCCUGAUACGGCGUACUGCCCUUGUUCAUGACAGUUCAACCAGCAUUUAUGGAGCACAUCCAAGCUCUGUAUGAACCUCUGAAAAUGAUAAUAUUGUUAUCAAUCACAUUUCCCUUGUCUCUCCCUUUUUAACCUAUCCUUCUUUUCUGGAAUUUUCAAGUUGUAGAGCAAUGUCCCUAAGAUCUAGCUCUUCUCUUUUAUUAUUAAGAAUAAUUCUCAUCCCACCUUAGCAGAUAUUCUCAUGAUGUCAUUACUACGGUUUAAAUUGUUCAUUUCCAGGGGCGCCUGGGUGGCUCAGUCGGUUAAGUGUCCGACUUCGACUCAGGUCACGAUCUCGCGGUCCGUGAGUUCGAGCCCCACGUCGGGCUCUGGGCUGACGGCUC